ensembl:lncRNA
AUGGACAGAGAAGCCUGGCGGGCUACAGGCCAUGGGGUCACAGAGAGUCAGACACGACUGAGUGAUUUAGCACACGGGCACUCCGUAUGGUAACAGAGGAUAAAGUACGUUCAUCAAAGUGAGCGCUUCAUUCAGUUCACGUUCAGUAGAAGCCAUUCGGACAGGUGAAGCUUGGAGCAACUCCUGUGACAGCCUUUCCCCUGAUCCCUGGGGGGUGAGGGGGUCGACUGCCCGGCUCCCUGACUGCGACCCACUAACGCUGCAUCCGCCGCCCCCUCUGUGAGCACCGUCCCUCGCUCAGCCAGCCCGGUUUCCUGCGGCUCAGGGGGCCCCUCUCUCCCGCGGCCCCUCCCUCUUCCUGCUGCUGCUCUCGGCUGGAGCCUGGGGGGCCGACCACUUGCCCUCCUGUCCCAGGGAGCCCCCGAGACACGCUGGGAGGGGUCAGGAAGGCCGCCCUCUGUCGGGGCCUCCCGGGUCCCGGUCACGCGGGAGACUGGCUCACACCACCCACCAUGUGCGGCGUCUGCGUGUGGGUCAGGCCAGAAACUCCACCUGGGACUGGGAACGGCUUGUUCUACGGGCUGGGCUGGCGGCUCGGAGGGCCUUUCCUGUUUCUGGAAGGAGGGGGCGGGACCAGCUCGCUGAGGCGUCUGCUGCGAUUUUUGUAGCUGUUUCUGAAAACACUGGAGAUGGAUUCACUGGUGACAGCGCUGUGGCGGUGAUCUUCCUAAACAAACAAAAGAACAACAGCAAUGAAAUGAAAAGGCGGCUGUCUCCUUGGUCUGCUCCCCCAGCGCCCCCGCCAGCCCUCCGUCCCUCCGGUGUUCUUUCCGGGAGGGGGUGGACGUCACUCGCGUCCCUAUGGUCCGCUCCUUUCUCGCACGUGUGCGUGUAUCCACCGACAGCUCGCAGGGUGGGGUUGCACCUUCUAAGCGUGCAGAUGCGCACCUGCGCUGUACGCGCCACCCUGCACUGGUCCCUGCCGUCCAGGUCACGCCUGACGGCCUCCCCCCCCACCCACCCCCCGCCCCUCGUGAAGCCCCGGCUCGUGUCCACGGAUGGCCGUGCAGGGUCACGAUUCAUGGUCACAGCGGUCGCCUCUGAUUGUGCGCUGUUACAAUGAACAUCUUUGGACGUGUCGGGGGGCGGACAGUGUCGGAGACGGUCCGGGGACUUCCAGGGAGACGGCAGCAGGGUGAGGAGCCUGGGGGCCGCCCUCUCACGCUCUCCCCCGCCGUCUGGAGGGAAGCCGGGCCCCACCGUGAGCUCCCUGCGCGGAGGGCCGUUUUUCCCCUGCCUGCUCAGGCCGCUGCGUCCUUAGCGGAAGUGGGACGGCCCCUUGGACUCCGCUGGCGCCUCUGCGGCUCUCACCGCACUCGGGUCACUGGAGCACAAGCGGAGCGCUUUCUCCGGGGCGGGGUCCCUCCCAGGCCCUCGGGGCCGGGCGCUCUCACACCUUCAGGCCCA